CGUGGAGCGAUUUGUCUGGUUUAUUCCGAUAACGAGCGAGACUCUAGCCUACUAACUAGUCCACACAUUGCUACUGUGUUGUGCGACUUCUUAGAGGGAUUUUCGGUGUUCAGCCGCACGAGAUUGAGCAAUAACAGGUCUGUGAUGCCCUUAGAUGUCCGGGGCUGCACGCGCGCUACACUGGCGAAAUCAGCGUGCUUGUCCUUUCUCGAAAGAGAUUGGUAAACCAUUGAAAAUUUGCCGUGAUUGGGAUCGGAAAUUGCAAUUAUUUUCCGUGAACGAGGAAUUCCAAGUAAGUGCGAGUCAUCAACUCGCGUUGAUUACGUCCCUGCCCUUUGUAC
rnacentral:rRNA from 1 species